UACGUAGGGUCCGAGCGUUGUCCGGAGUUACUGGGCGUAAAGCGCGCGCAGGUGGUUCCCUAAGCCCGGCGUGAAAGCCCCCGGCUCAACCGGGGAGGGUCGUCGGGGACUGGUGAACUUGAGGGCGGCAGGGGCUGGUGGAAUCCCCGGUGUAGUGGUGAAAUGCGUAGAGAUCGGGGGGAACACCCGUGGCGAAGGCGGCCAGCUGGGCCGACCCUGACACUGAGGCGCGAAAGCUAGGGGAGCAAACAGG
rnacentral:rRNA from 1 species